UACGGGGGGGAGCAAGCGUUGUUCGGAUUUACUGGGCGUAAAGAGCGUGUAGGCGGCCCGAUAAGUCCGCCGUGAAAGUCCAGGGCUCAACCCUGGAAUGCCGGUGGAAACUGUCGGGCUGGAGUCCGGAAGAGGCGAGUGGAAUUCCUGGUGUAGCGGUGAAAUGCGCAGAUAUCAGGAAGAACACCUAUGGCGAAGGCAGCUCUCUGGGACGGUACUGACGCUGAGACGCGAAAGCUAGGGUAGCAAACGGG
rnacentral:rRNA from 1 species